CGAGUCUGACCGAGCACGCCGCGUGAGCGAAGAAGGCCUUCGGGUCGUAAAGCUCUGUUGUUAGAGAAGAACAUGGGUGAGAGUAACUGUUCACCCCUUGACGGUAUCUAACCAGAAAGCCACGGCUAACUACGUGCCAGCAGCCGCGGUAAUUAGUG
rnacentral:rRNA from 1 species